GUUAUCCACUGCUCUCAGCAGCAAGAGGAAGAAAACCAUGACUUUGGAUCUAACUCUGACAAUAAUGACUGCCAGUGUGACAAGUUCUUAUUCCAAGGGAGAGAAAUCAUGUGAUGAUUUUGUGGUCCACUCUGAAUGAGCUGUCAGUCCCAAAAAGGAGGGCUUGGAGAUGAUGCUUCCUUCCUCUUUUUAAUCUCCGCAGCCAUGUCAAGAACAUGUCUUCCGAACCCUCUUUGUUCACAGCACUGGGACAUGAAGCACUGUGUGGGAGAGGAUCACAUUCACUGACUCUGCUUCCCUCCACACUUCUGAGGAGUCCCACCGCACUUAGGGGUUAUAUCCACGUCUGUAACUUACCAUGUACGAACACACAUAGAAAUAGUAUCAAAUUGUUGAAAAUUCUAAAGGCAAAAAAGCUUUUGUGAGGAUUCAGCAGGAAAACUUAAAAGAAAAUUCUUGUCGUACUAAACACCAAUCAAGUCGUGAUGACUGAUCAUUUUAAUCUCACUCAGGCUUUCCAAAAUUUUAUUUUAAAAACGGGUAAGAGUUGGACAGCAGAUUUUGGAUAGUCUUUGUUGUCUGGUAGUUGCUGAACAGGCAAGGAUGGGAAUCCUCUAGAAACAGCAGCCAGACUGGCAUGGGUUUAAAGAUAGCACAGCACUACCAUGACCCAUGAAGGCUCACAAGAAGCCCUCCUGUGGCUGGAGUGUGUCUCAGCAGUGAGUACUUGCCUAGCAUUUGUCAUGUUCUUGCUUCCUCUCCUAGCACUAAAAAGAGGAAGCCAAAAAAAAAAGAAAAAGUUCUCAUCCAUUCUGCUUCUGUCAGUGAUUCCAAGCCUUCCGUUCCAUGCAGGACGGAUUUCAGACUGCUCUGAUACAUGGGUCACAUAAGAGACUAUGAUUCAUUUGAUCUUGGAUACUCUGUACACAUCAGAUAUUUAAAAACACACAUAACCAAUAACCUAUUUUCUGUCUCUAUAGAUCCCCCACUCUGGACAUUUCAUAUGAAUGGAAUCAUUCAUGUGUCACUUUCAUUUAGGCUGUAGAAUGCAUCAGCUGUUCAUGACUGAGAUUAUGGUAUGGACACCUGGGUGGUUUCCAUCUUUAGGCCAUUGUAAACAGUACUGCUCUGAACAUUUACACACAAGUUUUUGCUUCAAUAACUGCUUCAAUAUUUUGUGGUGUGUGCCUGCUGGUCAGACAGCAGUUCUAUGGAUAAUUUAUUCAGAAAGUGACAAGCUGUUUUCUACUCAUCAGGACAGGGACAUCUCCCCAGGUUAAUCUGUCUGGCUAGAACUCAAACCCAGGUUGAUUAAUUAAGAACAACCAUCAAUUUUUAUAUAACCCAAGUAACAACAACAACAACAACAACAACAACAACAACAAGUCCUCCAAAAACCAAAACACCAAAUCAGCAAAAUUCAGACACUAAAGCUGACUACUACAUUAAACUAAUGUAAGUGGAGCCUACAGAUUUCUUUUAAAAACUUUUAAAGACAUUAUCAUCUGGACCUCUAUUUUAAUCCUAAUUCAAAUACACACUGGGAAAAAUUAUAUUUGUGGUACAAUGAAAAAUGUAAACAUUUGCCUAUUAUUACAUUUAUUAAAAUGGCAAUACUCUUGAAGUUAUGCUUUAGAAGAAUAUUAUUUCCAGAUAUAUACAUAUUAAAUAAUUUUCAAUGGAAUGAUAAAACCUUCCUCAAAAUGAUAUAGGAAGAUGUUGGCAGAUACACAGGUUAAAAACAGUUGUGGCCAUGUUCAUGUAACUGUCAAAAGGUGCUGGAUGGGUAACAUGUCUUAUUAGAUUAUUGUCUUGUGUAUAUACUCAAAUUUGCAGUAACACAAAGUUAAAAAACAAACUCUCAGCUAUUGGAAAGCAAGGAGCAGGAGGAAACCCUCACCUCCUUCAUUGUGUUCCCAGGACACAGCAGAGCAUAGAUUCCCUGCAGGUAAGAUUUUUAUGGUAAUCAACUGAAUUAGCUCCCUAGGUGGGGCUCACUCUGCAUGCCUCAGGCCUUGUUUCCUUCAAAGACAAGACUUUUCUUUUAAGUUUUCCUGCUGAAUCCACUCAAAAGCAUUUUCUACCCUUAGAAUUUGAAAUAAACCUGAUACUACUUUU